CCCGCACAAGCGGUGGAGCAUGUGGUUAAUUCGAAGCAAACGCGAAGAACCUUACCAGGUCUUGACAUCCCGAUGCUAUUUCUAGAGAUAGAAAGGUUACUUCGGUACAUCGGUGACAGGUGGUGCAUGGUUGUCGUCAGCUCGUGUCGUGAGAUGUUGGGUUAAGUCCCGCAACGAGCGCAACCCCUAUUGUUAGUUGCCAUCAUUCAGUUGGGCACUCUAGCGAGACUGCCGGUAAUAAACCGGAGGAAGUGGGGAUGACGUCAAAUCAUCAUGCCCCUUAUGACCUGGGCUACACACGUGCUACAAUGGUUGGUACAACGAGUUGCGAGUCGGUGACGGCGAGCUAAUCUCUUAAAGCCAAUCUCAGUUCGGAUUGUAGGCUGCAACUCGCCUACAUGAAGUCGGAAUCGCUAGUAAUCGCGGAUCAGCACGCCGCGGUGAAUACGUUCCCGGGCCUU
rnacentral:rRNA from 1 species